UUCUUUCACCGACAUUCUUUUUCUAUCUCUAUUUCUAUCUAUCGUUGUCGUCUCUUUCUUCCUUCUCUGUUUCCUCUUCUAAGGUAAAAUCCUUCGAUUGUCCUAUGUUUUUUUACUUUUUUUGUUUGGUUCUUCAGAUUGUUAUUUUUUAUAUCUUUUCCUAUGUGUGGCUGUCGUAAGCGGGGGUACGUUGAUGUUGGUUCCUCUUUUGUUGGGGCUGAUGUUGGUUCCUCUUCGGAUGUGGUUUUUGCACCUGUUGUUUGUCGUACUCAACAAUCUCAAUUCUUCAUUUGAAACUGAUUACUCAUUUAUCAUCACAGGUUCAUCUCCUCUCACCGAUUUCAUAAUUGAACCCUAGACGCACUAUUAACACCUCUAUCGCCUUGCUCCAGGUAAUUGCAUCUGCAGCUUCUAAGAAGUCGUCCAUUGGCUUCAACCGAAAACAUGUUCUCCUCCGCUUUUUCUCAAUGAAAUGUGCAUACAUCUCUUUCUUCCUCUAUCUCUUCCCAUUAUUGCUUGCUCCUGCUAUGUUCAUCGCGGUUCUCCCCAAUCUCAUUGUCGAUGUACGGUUCAACCUCUACACCACCGUUAAUUUGUGAUUUAUAGAGGCAUAUUUCAUCUGGGAUUUGAAACUGAAUCGAUUGAUGUUUCCUUCGGGUGUGUGACGAACAUGGUUUGGCUGACGACUUCCACGUUUUAGAGGCGUAUUUCUAUGUUUAUGUCGCCUGGACUUCGCAGCACAUCUGAUGAAGGGAAUAUCUUAGAUCAAGCUUCACUACCGCCUAUGUUUGGGUGGGACCUCAAUGUUUCUUGGAUUCGUCGGUUGCAACUGGUAUCAGAAUCGAAUUACUUGAACUUUCAGGAAAUUGAGAUUUUGUUAGAGAUGCUUCCUGGUGUGACUUUGGCAGAAAGAAGCAACCUGAUAUCGGUCUUUGAUGUUGUUUAUUUCUCAUUAAAUAAAGGUGGAAAUGAUAAUGAUGUAUCAUCUGCAUCAAGGAGCAAUUUGAAGCCAUUGGAAUUUAAGGAUUCAAAAUUAUGACGAAGGAUGAUGAGAUUGAAUGUACAGUAACUUCUUCACAGACAAAUGAGUUUGAAGAUAUGUUAAGAAAUGAAGGCUGAAGAACAUGAGAUGGAGAAUAAACUAAAGGAGCUUCGAAAAGAGAUCAAUGUUGUUGAGUUAGAUUGCCUAAGAUUGAAGAAUAUUAAGGAUGAUUUAUCAAAAAGUUUUAACGGUUGAAAGAGAUGAAGUUAGAGAGAUCACUUAUGAGGUUGCAUCAAAUUAUGACAUCAUGAAUGAUUUGAUGAGUGUUGGUCUGCAUAGGUUGUGGAAAUAGAGAGGAUUAAGGAGGCCAUAUGUACCUCCUAUGGAUACAGGUCUUUUGUUUGAAGGUGAAAGAAAUAUCAAUAGACAAUUAUUGAAUGGACUUCAUACUAUAAAUCUCUAAUUAUGUCAAGUUUCUAGUAUAGUUUUUCUGGUAUGCGAGGACAAAACGGAAUCGUAGUGAACCAAUACAUGAAGGGGAUCUGUUGAUUAAUGUCUCUGAAUUCCAAGAAGAAGCCAUGUAGCUACCAUUAUUUAGCUUCUCUACAAUAGCAAAUACCACUGCCAGAUUUCAUUUAACAACAAACUUUCGGUGUAUAAUUAGGGCUCCAGAAGCAAUUGCUUUAGAAACAACCCUUCAACUAACACAUGUUGAACAAGAUGCUCAAUUUUCAUUUCUCUGUGUCUAUGGUGUUGAAGAAGAAGGCUAAAAGACAACUAUUUGAUUGGGGGUGACUUUAAAUUUCCCAGUCAUCUAUUAUGAAAUCAUGAAUUCAUCUGAAGGGUAUGUUAGUUACCUAAACACGCUUAUGAUGAAACAAUUUCAGAGCUUCAUACUUUAAAGGAGGAAUCAUACAAAGAUACUAUUUUGAUUAUGCAGCUUCUAAGGGACAAUAUCACUGUUUGGACAUAUGAUAUUAAAAAGGAAGGAGAAGAUUCACGCAAACACGAUGGUAGUUGCAGAACUGACGGUCAGAUGGAUAAUGUAGAGUGAAGGGAAGAUGUGAAUAGAGAGGGUGUUGUUGGUUAUGGAAUGGGAAGUGGUUGGUCGGACUGUUUGGAAGCUCAGCUUCGUAAGGAGAAGACAAAUGGUUACAAAUUAGACAAAGCACAUGUUUUUUCUGUCAGUAUGUUUGAUGAAAUUAACAGCUUCAUGACAGUUCUAAAUGAGUUGGCCCAUCUUGAAAUCAUGCCAUAAGAACAGAAGAUCCUUAUUGUCUUCCUCUUUCAAUAUUAUCUAUAUGAUUGACAAUUUUCCCAUUGUUCCAUGUCAAUCAACUUUUAAUGUAUCAACAAUGUUUUGAUCAAUAAUCCUUUAUUUUC